AAACCGUUGAAAGGGAAGCGAAUGGAGUUAGCAAUUCGCCGUGCGAGAUUCAGUUCGCGCGCGCGGAGCGGCUUGCUCGUCCUCGAUCUUUGUAGACGAGGCGGUCAGGCACGCUCUGCUCGCCGGGCGCACUUCUCGUCGGCGAGCGUCAGCUUCGGUUGGCCGCGAGCAAAAAGGUCGCGAGGAAGGUAAGCGGCUCGUUCUCGAGUCGCCGUUAAGCCUCGCGAACGUACGGCUCGCGGCCGACCGAGGCCCAUUGCCGCGGCGCGUGCCUCCUCYCUCGGGGGGAGGCUGGUGUCUCGUUUCGUCGAUCCGGUUGUCGACUGUGGCGGACGGCACGCCUGUGCGCUCGAACCGCUGCCGGUCGACGAGGCGGUGUACACACACCACGCGCCGAGGACGCUGACGACCAUACGGCUCCAUCCGACCCGUCUUGAAACACGGACCAAGGAGUCCAACGUGUGCGCGAGUCUCCGGGUGAUCGAAACCUGUGGGCGCAAUGAAAGUAAAGACGACCUCGCGUCGUUGAGGUGAGAACGGCCUUGCGCCGCGCAUCAUCGACCGACCUGUCCUACUCUUAGAAAGGUUCGAGUAAGAGCGCACCCGUUGGGACCCGAAAGAUGGUGAACUAUGCCUGAAUAGGGUGAAGCCAGCGGAAACACUGGUGGAAGCUCGUAGCGAUUCUGACGUGCAAAUCGAUCGUCGAAUUUGGGUAUAGCGGCGAAAGACUAAUCGAACCAUCUAGUAGCUGGUUCCCUCCGAAGUUUCCCUUAGGAUAGCUGGAGUUCACUGCAAGCAGU
rnacentral:rRNA from 1 species